GUCCACGCCGUAAACGGUGGAUGCUGGAUGUGGGGCCCGUUCCACGGGUUCCGUGUCGGAGCUAACGCGUUAAGCAUCCCGCCUGGGGGAGUACGGCCGCAAGGCUAAAACUCAAAGAAAUUGACGGGGCCCGCACAAGCGGCGGAGCAUGCGGAUUAAUUCGAUGCAACGCGAAGAACCUUACCUGGGCUUGACAUGUUCCCGACGGUCGUAGAGAUACGGCUUCCCUUCGGGGCUGGUUCACAGGUGGUGCAUGGUCGUCGU
rnacentral:rRNA from 1 species